rnacentral:rRNA from 2 species
UUAAGUAGACCGCCUGGGGAGUACGGCCGCAAGGUUAAAACUCAAAUGAAUUGACGGGGGCCCGCACAAGCGGUGGAGCAUGUGGUUUAAUUCGAUGCAACGCGAAGAACCUUACCUGGUCUUGACAUCCACAGAAGUUUGCAGAGAUGCGAAUGUGCCUUCGGGAACUGUGAGACAGGUGCUGCAUGGCUGUCGUCAGCUCGUGUUGUGAAAUGUUGGGUUAAGUCCCGCAACGAGCGCAACCCUUAUCCUUUGUUGCCAGCGAUUAGGUCGGGAACUCAAAGGAGACUGCCAGUGAUAAACUGGAGGAAGGUGGGGAUGACGUCAAGUCAUCAUGGCCCUUACGACCAGGGCUACACAC